CCCACAGCUGCAGGAGAGAACAUCCUCCUCUCCCUUAAUAGUGCCAUUACGGCUGUCACCCAUGAAUUUUGCUAAAACCUUUCGGGAAAUUGUUUAUAUUUUCAGCUGAACAACCUCUUGGGGUAAUGAGUUUCCAUAACAACUAAUGGGUGGCCAGCGUGCUUCCGCCCUGGGCUGGGGACCGCGUGCUCUUUGAUUCGCAUCAGCAGCGGCUGAUGGCCCCUCAAGUGGUUCCUGUUUGCUGUCUCCCAGCAUUGCGGCAGGUAGGCGGGGUGCAGCACAGGGCACAGGCCCCUGGGCCUCAGUGCCUCCGACGUGCCAGUUCCGGCUGUGGCGGCGGGGGGGUUGCGGUGUGCCUGGGCCUUUGGCUUUGCCCCGACCACCCUCUAACAGGGCUCUGCCCGCUCUUGGAGGUGAAGGGUACACUUGUGCCUGGAAGCUGAUGGAAAGGGCUUCUGAAUGGACUGCAAGCAACUGGCUCAGUGGUCACCUCUGAAGUCAAAUAAAGGGAAAAGUUUGGAGCACAAGAAAAUGAGUACAUAGAUCAAAGUGUCCAUGUCCCAUGUCCAUGUCUGGCAUUUUCUCUGCCUUAUGUCCCUGAUGGUGGGGGAAGAGAAGGGAACAGAUUUACAGAGACCCGGACAGCUCACCUCCAAUAGGAGCCAUAUAUCCCAGUGGACUGGACGCACCCAACACGGAGGCAGCAGCCGAGACUUACACCGCAAGGCCUUGGCUGGCUCUAUUGGGCCAGGACCCCAUACUGGGAGUGCGGGGUAGGGGCAGGUUGAAUUCAGUUUCCAGAGUCAGGCCCCUGUCAGAGGGGGGAAGUGAUUGUGAAAUAUUUUAAAUGCACAGAGAUGAGCUGAUGGACAGGUCUUAAUGAAGGAUUAAAUGGACACGUUUAAGAGCCUGGAAAGCACCAGGCAGAGUUCCAUGGCCCCAGAAUAACUGCAUUGUCUCUGACCUUUUCUGUCUUGGGAACAUGCACAGCUUUAGCUGAAAGAACUGAGCUCAUGGCACCAGUUUCAACCCCUCGCUUCCGGGGCCUCAGUUCUGGACAAGGCCAGGUUGUCCCAUUGCCCCAGAGGGCCCUUUGGCUGAACUCAGAAGCCUCAUGGCACCAGCUACCUUCUUUUCAAAUCCAAAGCUGCCUGGAGGUGCCCCCAGCGUGGACAAGGGCAGCCUGAGGACUCCACUAAUAGCUAUGGGAGGAUCACUCACUUUAGGAUCAGCCUGCCAGGACCUCUGCUCCCUCAUGUGUAAAAUGAGCAGCUCCAGAGAGCUGAACCCAGACUCACAAAGUGUCACUGCUGAGCGGGCUCCACAGCACUGCCUCUCAUGCAUUCAUGCACUCACGUGACCUACUCCGUGCCAGGCCAGGGGCUCGGUGUGGAGAUGCAGGGCUGGAAGAGCACAUCCUGGUGCAGCAGGCAGUUCGUAAGCAGGAGUGUCAACACCAGCCCAAUUAGACGUGCUGAUUGCUGAUUGGCUCUGGCAAGGAAUUCAAAUCUCCUCUGUGCCUUUGCAAAGCAACAUCCAUCUUGAACAUAAAUGAGGUUCUGGCUUGAUUUCUGGGCUUGGGCAUCAGACAUCUCCCUUUUGCGGACACCUACAGCUCUGUUCUUGAAUUUUGUGAUUGCGGAUAAGCACCCGCUCCUUCUUUUUAAGUCCUUUGGCAGAUAGUCAUUCAUGCUUACAGGAUGACCCAGGCAAAGCUAAACACAGAUCUGGGCUCCAAUCCCACCAUGGCUGUGUGACCUAGUGGAAGUUCCUUAACCUCUCUGAGCCUCAGCUUUCUUUUCCACAGAUUGCUGAUUAAAACACUUACUUUAGUGUUAACACAAGGGAAAGCUGGGCGUGGAGGUCUAUGAGAAUUCUCUAUACUAUUUUUGCAACUCUUUUGUGAAUAUGAAAUAAUCUAAACUAGAAGAUUUAAAAAAAAAAACAAACCCAAACACGUGCUUCCUAGGCUUUCUGAGGACUGGAGAUGGCAAAUGUGCGGUGCCCGGCAUGGAAUAGGUGUUCAUCAGCUUUGACACAGUGGAGGGACACGGCCCAACCAUCACGCCAGCCUGUACUCUUUCUCUUUCUUUUCCCUGCUGCAGCCUGUGCCACAGAUUAGGAAAACACAUUGAAGCAAUGCUGAAGGGGCAAUAGGAGUGGAAGGAGGUUAUCGAGUAUGAAACAGUACCCUUGAUACAGUGGGGAGAGGAGUGUUUCUCCACUUGGAAUUAUAAUCACAACCUUAAACACAAGUUUCGACCGCCAACUGACUGCUGCCUCCCUCUCUCACCAAGGGCUGGAGGCCACUGCAGAGCAAGACAAGGUGGGUCUGGCACAAGAUCCAUCCUAAAUCCAGCGAGAACAAAGAAGGCUCAGCAUCCUCCCCUGUGGCUGAUCCUGCUAUAAUGCUCCCUGGCAAGCUCAAUGCUUUGUGUCAUUCUGGAGCUCGGGGAAAGGUGAAAAAUACCAUGCAUCCAUGUUAGCUAUUAAAGCACGAGGAGUCCCUGAGUGUAUUUACAGGGGGGAGUUGGCGAGGGAAAGGCAAUUCCAUUAAACAAAGGGCAGGACACAGAGGAAGUUUGGAAGGAGGGUCGAUGGCUGAAAUGCUUCAUCCAAAUACAAUUCCGUCUCCCACCUGGAGGCUGCAGAAAAGCUGUGUCCAGCAAGAGAUUUACAACCCCAAGCAUUGCCUCCACUGGGUAAUAAACUGUGCUCUCUAAUCAAUAUCAGCGCUGGGCUGUCUGUCUGCAGCAUAGAUUCCCAUUUAGCAAAGCCACUGAGUAAUGGAAAACGCAAUCGAGUUGCAUAAUGAGUCUGGGUAAUUGGAUGGACUGGGCAGAAUGGUCCAGCUAAGUAUAUUCAGUCCGGCACAUUAAUUAAAAACUUGACACUUCAAGCGCCACCCAAAGUGCCCCAUUAAUUAUUCUGUGAAUCCAAAGGUCAGAUGUAGUGGAUGAGUUACAAGACGAUGAUAAAAUUGCUUGGCUCCGGGGCCAUCACAAGAGCAUGCAUUGCACCGAGGCCUGGACUCACCUGUAGCUUCAGUGGGAGUUGAACAGGCAGCCCUCUUCGCACUGGUGCCCUGCCAGUGCCGGAUCCAAGAGGAAGGACUGAGGCUGCCCAAGGUGCUGACACCAGCGCGGCCCUGCUUGUGAGUGAGCUCGCCCAUCUCCGCUUUCAUCUCAGAGAUCUGCAGGCACAGACAGGUAAAGGAAUUUGCCCACAGUCAGAAAUCAGCAGAUGAGAAUUCAAACCCAGACCGUGAAGAAUCAGAGCCACAGCAAGGUUAUUACAUGCAAGGAGAAACAAAUUUUGUGCUUAAAGUAAAAAGCAGAGUGGCAUUUCUUCUGUAAUGUAAGCAGCUGUGUGACUUUGGGCAAGUUGCUUCACCUCUGUAGGCCUCUGUUUGCCUGUCUGUAAUAAACAGAUCCCCCAUCUCUGGGACUUCAAAAGAGGAGAGGACGGUCAGCAGGGGUGGCCUGCUCAGAAGGGCCAUACUUCAUCCCCAAUGUCCCUCAACAACUCCAAGGGCAAUGCCACCCCAGACCUCACUGCCAGGCCUUCCAGAGUCCAACAAACUCGUGUCCCAUGACCACAGCUUGUUCCCUUGAUCUAUGUGCACCUGGGGAUGCUGGUGGCUGGGAGGUGAGUUCAUGAGGCCUCAGAUCCGCCCUUGAAGUCAGUACUGUCAUUCACCCAUUCUUCAGACGAGGACACAGAGGCCUGGGAAGAGUCAGCAAGGACAGAAGCUGGGUUCACAGCCCCUCAGGCCAGCUCCAGAGGCCUCAAUCUUCACCAGCAAUGUGCCUCUGGGCUUGAGAAGAUUGGACAGGAAGAACACAGGAAGCUCCAAGAAAAAAGAACUGAAACUGCACCAAGAGUCAAUGAUCUGCUGCCUCCUCAGACGUGCAGCAAUCUGACAACAUCCAUCAAAAUUAAAAGCGCGUGCACCCUUGACUUCACAAUGGCCUUCUAGGAAUUUACCCUCCCAACGCACUAGUGCACGUGUCUAAGAUACAAGGUUCUGCCGUAGCAGAACUGCUUACGGCAAUGAGUUUAUGGCCGCCCACACCCCCAGCCUCAAGUGAGGAGGCUCCAACUCCACAGCAGGUUGGCAGGGGCUGAGCUGUGCCCCUCCACUCAAUGGAAAUAUUUCCUGGACCAAAACGGAACUGCACCAGGGACCAAGACAGACAGGACCUCCUCCACCCCGUGGAAGGUAACAUGGAGAGAGGUCCCAGUGGAUCCACCAGAGAAAAGGAAUGUCCAUCUUAUCUUUCACCUAGAGUGGGAUCCAGUGCAAACCAGCACACACAGGAGGAUCCACUGUAGUUGCUGGAAUGUAAGAUGGACAUACCGUGUGUGUAUGUAUGGGAAACUUCUGGAAAAUGCAAUGUUGGGAUGAAGGAGGUAGGAGGCUUUUUCUUCCUAUUCUUAUGUCCUUCAGUCAUGGUUCAUUUGGUUUUGCACUCUCAUGAGCAUAUAUUAUUUUAUACUUAAAAAAAAGGGAUUGCAUUUCAAAACUUCCAUGACCAGCUCUGAAGUCAGUGGAUCAGAGGGAAUUCCCUGCUCACUCCUGGAACAGACCCCCUGCCCGACCUCCCUGGGCUCUGAGGGAACCACACCAGGACCAAGUUCAGAAGCUGACAGAUGCCAGUCAGUGAGCCCCAAGUCCGUGCUCUGAGCCUAGCUAGCACUCAAGCUUAGGACAGCAUAACUAUUUAUUUAACUGAUGGCUGCUGUCUUCAUUCAAAUGAUGCUUGCCGUGUUAGAAAUGAAUGCCCAUUGACUCUGUCACUGUGACAAAGUGCACCUGUGUUUAUCCCUCUGCUGCCAAGUCUGCAUGUUCAAUAUUUUGUCCAUCAAUUUUUAACUUUUUUAAAAAAUGGGACUUUGGUGAGGGAAUGAAGAGGCCAUCACUUUCCCAGGCAGAUAGCCUUUCUGCCUCCAUCCUCUCCUGGGGUUCUGCUUGAAGCCUGGUAGAGUCACAUCCCCAUGGGCCUUGACACUCAGAGGCCAUGCUCUCCCAAAGCUCUGGCUUUCUAACAGCCAGGGGACACUCCUGCUUGGGCUGAGACUUGUGCAGCUCUAGUAGGAAUGUCCCUCUGUGCUUAGAAAACACCCAAAGCUUGCCACGGCAUCCAGGCUGCCUACUGCACCCCUCACUCAGCCUUCUUGGGCCACCAGGUGCCCAUUCCAUGCCAAGCUUUGUCUCCUCAACAAAGUUGCUCUGCUUGAGCCAGUGAAUUCUGUCUCCAGGAGGCUGUGUCAUGGCUUUGUCUUCUACAAGCUCAUGCCCUGGAGGGAAGGACAGAGUGACUCUGACAUGUCAGCCCAUUCAGUCAUUCAUUCCUCAACUCUAAUAAAUUUCCUGCUGAGUGUCAGGUACUGGACUGGAUUUGGGGAAUCUGGUGAUGAACACAUCAGAUGGGGCCGGGCGCAGUGGCUCACACCUGUAAUCCCAGCACUUUGGGAGGCCGAGGCAGGAAGAUCACUUGAAGCCAGAGUUCAGGACCAGCCUGGCCAACAUGCUGAAACCCCGUCUCCACUAAACAUAAAAAAAUUAGCCAAGUGUGGUGGCGCAUGCCUGUAAUCCCAGCUACUCGGGAGGCUGAGGCAGGAGAACCGCUUGAACCCAGGAGGCAGAGGUGGCAGUGAGCCGAGAUCACACCACUGCACUCCAGCCUGGGCCUGUCUCCAAAAAAAAAAAAACAGAAAAAAAACACCACACACACACACUCUCCCCACAGGGCUCAGCUCAGUGAAGGAGCAGUGGGAAGGAGAAGGGUUUCCCUAGUGCAACCAGAGCUCCUGGUGAACACCCUUGCCCUGCCUCCCGCCCCACCUCCACUGCAGUGCCAGAAGCAAAAUGGUGCCCAGCACAGGCAAACAGCCAGGGCCAGAUGGAAGAGAGGGCUGCCAAGGAGCUGCAGACGUUGAGCAGCUUCCUGGGGCUGCAGUAUAGGAUCCCGGGCUGCACUGACACCACUGCAGGUGGUGUUUCCUGUCCUGUUUCCAGCACUGCCACACUGCCAGUGCUUACUGGCACUCCCUUGGGGACACGUUCCUUGACUCCAGUUCUCCAGGACCUUGUUUGCCCUUAACUUCUCAGGGCCUCUACUUCCUUAUUUGAAUACUGGGAUGGAAACAGCUGCCAUUUUGAGUGUCACUGCAUGCCUGGCUGUCUGCUAAGCCCUCUCUGUGCCUUGCCCCUGUGGGGCACCCCAGCAACCUGCAUGAUGGGCUACGCCUUUGCCCCCACAACACAAUGAAGAAACGAUAUCCUGAUCCCUCCACCAGGAUGGGAUGAGGACUGACUGAGAUGGUGUGUGAGAAAGCCUGGGCUUGCCUUGGGAAGGCCCAGUGACAGCUUCCUUCCUUCCUUCUGAAGGAUCUGCUGGAGGGCACAUGCCCGCCCACAUCUGGUUAGCGUGAAAUACACCAUCGAUGACCUGACCCUGCAGCUCCCACCACGUCUGGGAUGUGGCCUUGGAGGAGUGCCCAGAGGGCUCCCCUCUAGAAUUCUAGCACUGUGCCAUAAGUAACCCCAGAUGCAGGUCCCCUGGAUCUUCACAGAGCAACUCCAAGCCCACCCCCAGGACACCACGUGGCAGCCACAGGGGCCAACCUCCACCCUCUGGAGGAAACCCCCUGGUAUUUCUUCAUGGCCUUUAGUUCCUUAGAAUGUGAGCCCUGGUUCCUAUGAGCAGGAGGAAACGGAGAGAGAAGAGACAGGACAGGACAGAGGGGAGAGAGAGGAGAGAGGGGAGAGAGAGA
rnacentral:lncRNA from 1 species